GAGACCAAAAAAAGCCGCGCAGGUUGCGAUAAGCUUUAGGGAAUCGUCAGUAAGUUUUAAUCCGUGGAUUUCCAAAUGAGAAAAUCCAACUAGAUUAGCUAGCUAUUGCAUAGUAUGUAAAGCGAACUUGGUGAACUGACUUGGAAUAAAGGAUGUAUUGGAGGCAAUAGUGACGAAGUUUCCAGCUUCACAUGCUGACAGAAAUGCUCCUGUGCAAGCAAAUAUCUAGGUGACCAAAGAAAAAGGAAUCAAUCAUGAUUCUGUUAAUAGUGACGAGCGAAAGAGGAAAAGGCUAAAGAUUUAAGAAUAAGAAUUAGAAUAGUCUUGAAGUAGUAACCAUAGAAGGUGAUAGUCUUGUAUAAGCAGAACGUUUUGAAAUUUUUUAAGAAAACCAUCUUCAAUAAGGAAAUGUUAAUUUUUGAUUCUCGUUAAGGAAGCCUAGAUGCUAC
rnacentral:ncRNA from 1 species